GUGUCAGCAGCCGCGGUAAGACAGAGGGCUCAAACGUUGUUCGGAAUCACUGGGCAUAAAGGGCGCGUAGGCGGCUCGUUAAGUCGGUUGUGAAAUCCCCCGGCUCAACCGGGGAACGGCAUUCGAUACUGGCGGGCUCGAGGACGGGAGGGGUAAGUGGAACUCCAGGUGGAACGGUGAAAUGUGUAGAUAUCUGGAGGAACACCGGUGGCGAAAGCGGCUUACUGGCCCGUAUCUGACGCUGAUGCGCGAAAGCUAGGGGAGCAAACGGGAUUAGAAACCCCCGUAGUCC
rnacentral:rRNA from 1 species